GGAGCGUAGCUCAGUGGUAGAGCAUCUGCCUUGAAAGCAGAACGUCCCGGGUUCGAUCCCCAGCAUCUCCU